GAUGAACGCUGGCGGCGUGCCUAAUACAUGCAAGUCGAACGAAACUUCUUUAUCACCGAGUGCUUGCACUCACCGAUAAAGAGUUGAGUGGCGAACGGGUGAGUAACAUGUGGGCAACCUGCCCAAAAGAGGGGGAUAACACUUGGAAACAGGUGCUAAUACCGCAUAACCAUAGUUACCGCAUGGUAACUAUGUAAAAGGUGGCUAUACUACCGCUUUUGGAUGGGCCCGCGGCGCAUUAGCUAGUUGGUAGGGUAAAGGCUUACCAAGGCAAUGAUGCGUAGCCGAAUUGAGAGGUUGAUCGGCCACAUUGGGACUGAGACACGGCCCAAACUCCUACGGGAGGCAGCAGUAGGGAAUCUUCCACAAUGGGCAAAAGCCUGAUGGAGCAACGCCGCGUGGGUGAAGAAGGUCUUCGGAUCGUAAAACCCUGUUGUUAGAGAAGAAAGUGCGUGAGAGUAACUGUUCACGUUUCGACGGUAUCUAACCAGAAAGCCACGGCUAACUACGUG
rnacentral:rRNA from 1 species